rnacentral:lncRNA from 1 species
AAGAAGAAGACUUUUUUUAGAAAAUGUUGACGGACACAUGACGGACAUUGAGCGGUCAUAAAAGCUCACCAUGAGCCUUUGGCUCAGAUGAGCUAAAAAUAAGCAAUUACAUUUUAUUUGGCUGGCCUUACAACUGAAAACAUGCAAAUCUAAAACUAUGAAAAGUUUCCUUAAAGUCUAUAUCAAGGAACUUUUUCUAUAAGCCAAAAACGUCACCAAAAGUGUGAUUUUCCAAAAGAAAUCCUUAGUGAAAACUGACCGAAGGACCAAGAUUUUCAAAUAGGUCUAACAAUCUUUAAUACUAGCUGAAUGUCCUUGGGAUAAAAUCAUGCUUUGAAAAAAUAUGAUUUAAUAAAAAUUCUAGAUUGUAUAACAGUAUUUGUUUGAAACAUGCAGGGCUACCUUACAUACCGGUAUCUUCUAUUUUAGCAACUGUUUAUUCACAUAUAUUACAGCUAAUACAUAUUUGAUAUUCAAUCUUAUUUUUCUAAACCUGGUUACCAAGCAGAAAAUAGAACUUAACAUAAGCAUAGUUCAUGUAAACCUACUUUUCGUAAGGAAUGUAAUCAAAAUAAGGAAGACUUUAUUACAUACCAUAAAAGAUUUGCAUGGAAAGUUAUACAUAUAACAACAACCCAACUAAAAUGCAUACUUUUUGCCAAUUUUGGUUCAGCAACAAAGACAGAAUGAACAGGACAUGAAACUUCAUUACUUUUAAAUCAAAUGUCUACUUAGAAACAUUGAUUCAUUUCUUUAAUAUAUAAUCUAAAAAUGAAAUAAAAUUACUGACUUUAGAAAACAAUAUCCUAAAACACAAAAUUAUGAGCACCGAAAUUGAACCCCUACACCCAAAUUUAUCACAAUCUUGGAUUUCAUGAGGAAAAAAACUUAAAAACAAAUCAAAUAUUAUUUAAAACAGGUGCUUAAAAUUAGGGUUAUGAUCAAUUAUACUUGAAUAUGUACAUUAUUUUAAAGUCUAGUGGUAAAUGCAUAAUUUUCUGACCAUAUUUAAUAUCAUACUACUUCAUUAUACUGCCUUUACCUUGUAACUCAAACCCCAAAUCAUAACCAAAACACCAAAUUCCUGUCAUGGCUUCAACUACAAACCUAAGUAUACACAUAAAA